UACGGAGGGGGCGAGCGUUGUUCGGAAUCAUUGGGCGUAAAGGGCGCGUAGGCGGCCGAUCAAGUCGGAGGUGAAAUCCCUCGGCUCAACUGAGGAACUGCCUUCGAUACUGUUCGGCUUGAGUCCUGGAGAGGGUAGCGGAAUUCCCGGUGUAGCGGUGAAAUGCGUAGAGACCGGGAAGAACACCAGUGGCGAAGGCGGCUCACUGGCCCGGUACUGACGCUGAGGCACGAAAGCGUGGGGAGCAAACAGG
rnacentral:rRNA from 1 species